GAUGAACGCUGGCGGCGUGCCUAAUACAUGCAAGUCGAACGCACAGCGAAAGGUGCUUGCACCUUUCAAGUGAGUGGCGAACGGGUGAGUAACACGUGGAUAACCUACCUCAAGGUUGGGAGUAACAUUUGGAAACAGAUGCCAAUACCGAAUAAAACUUACGUAUCGCAUGAUACAAGGUUAAAAGGACGCUACGGCGUCACCUAGAGAUGGA
rnacentral:rRNA from 1 species